CCUACGGGAGGCAGCAGUGGGGAAUAUUGCACAAUGGGGGAAACCCUGAUGCAGCGACGCCGCGUGAGUGAAGAAGUAUUUCGGUAUGUAAAGCUCUAUCAGCAGGGAAGAAAAUGACGGUACCUGAUUAAGAAGCCCCGGCUAACUACGUGCCAGCAGCCGCGGUAAUACGUAUGGAGCAAGCGUUAUCCGGAUUUACUGGGUGUAAAGGGAGCGCAGACGGCAGGGCAAGUCUGAUGUGAAAGUCCGGGGCUCAACCCCGGGACUGCAUUGGAAACUGUCCGGCUAGAGUGCAGGAGAGGUAAGUGGAAUUCGUAGUGUAGCGGUGAAAUGCGUAGAUAUUAGGAAGAACACCAGUGGCGAAGGCGGCUUACUGGACUGUAACUGACGUUGAGGCUCGAAAGCGUGGGGAGCAAACAGGAUUAGAUACCCCAGUAGUC
rnacentral:rRNA from 1 species